CCUACGGGUGGCUGCAGUGAGGAAUAUUGGUCAAUGGACGAGAGUCUGAACCAGCCAAGCCGCGUGAAGGAUGACUGAUCUAUGGGUUGUAAACUUCUUUUAUAUGGGAAUAAAACGUUUCACGUGUGGGGUUUUGUAUGUAUCCUAUGAAUAAGGAUCGGCUAACUCCGUGCCAGCAGCCGCGGUAAUACGGAGGAUUCGAGCGUUAUCCGGAUUUAUUGGGUUUAAAGGGAGCGUAGGUGGAUUGUUAAGUCAGUUGUGAAAGUUUGCGGCUCAACCGUAAGAUUGCAGUUGAAACUGGCAGUCUUGAGUACGGUAGAGGUAGGCGGAAUGCGUGGUGUAGCGGUGAAAUGCUUAGAUAUCACGAAGAACUCCGAUUGCGAAGGCAGUUCGCUGGCCCGCAACUGACGCUGAGGCUCGAAAGUGUGGGUAUCGAACAGGAUUAGAUACCCGAGUAGUC
rnacentral:rRNA from 1 species